GGGCCUACCACUUCUCGAUUUGCUCCAUCCGUCCUUUUCACACUCGGUUUGGAUAUUGGGGUUGGAAUCUGCUCAAAAACAGCAAAAAAAGUGUGAAACCAUGACGUACUGGAGGCAAGCCGGACUUAACUACCUGCAGUACUCUGCCGUCGCCGCCCGCAUGCUGCGGCAGGCGAUCAAGCCGGACGCGAAGCGUGCGGCGGCCGACGUGCCGGGCGUCCUGCGGAUAACUCACUGGAAGGACGGCAAGGCCUUAAGCGGAAGGGAGUACCC